UCUAGAAAACACCAAAUACGAACUAUCGUUCAACCGUUCCUUGUGAAAAAAUAAGUACAAAGACACAAGGAGAAGAGGUCUCUUGCUGAACAGGGCAGCCUAAGACAGGUCACUUCGAGAGGAUAUCGAUCGGCUCUUCGAGAUUUUAGAGAGACUCAUCUUUACCUAGUAGGCUAAAGAAGAGAUGAGGGAACUGUCUGACUCUCCACCACUUCUACACUAUGAGUCACCCCUACAACGAGAGGCUCUAACACU
rnacentral:lncRNA from 1 species